rnacentral:tRNA from 1 species
CGGGACGUGGCGAAGUUUGGUAUCGCGCCUGCUUUGGGAGCAGGAUGCCGCUGGUUCGAAUCCAGUCGUCCCGACCA